UACGUAGGGACCGAGCGUUGUCCGGAUUCAUUGGGCGUAAAGAGCUCGUAGGCGGCUGCUCAAGUCGGAUGUGAAAGCCCCGGGCUCAACCUGGGAACUGCAUUCGAUACUGGGCGGCUAGAGUAUGAGAGAGGGAGGUAGAAUUCCACGUGUAGCGGUGAAAUGCGUAGAUAUGUGGAGGAAUACCGGUGGCGAAGGCGGCCUCCUGGUUCAAUACUGACGCUGAGGUGCGAAAGCGUGGGGAGCAAACAGG
rnacentral:rRNA from 1 species